rnacentral:rRNA from 3 species
CCUACGGGAGGCAGCAGUGGGGAAUAUUGGACAAUGGGCGAAAGCCUGAUCCAGCCAUGCCGCAUGAGUGAAGAAGGCCUUUGGGUUGUAAAGCUCUUUUAGUGAGGAAGAUAAUGACGGUACUCACAGAAGAAGUCCUGGCUAACUCCGUGCCAGCAGCCGCGGUAAU